AAAUGAACUUUAUAUUCAAUGAUAAAAAUAUACCUAUUACAAAUAUUCAUAAACAUUUAGGGGUUACAUUUAGCAAUGAUGCUAAAUGGAAUGCCCACGUUGAUAAUAUUAUCUUAAGCACGUCUAAACAUAUAAAUAUGCUAAGGAAGUUGAAAUAUAAACUGAGCAGGAAAAAUUUAGAAAAACUCUAUUUAGUUUUUAUAAGACCUUUAUUUGAGUAUGCAAGUGAGGUUUGGGAUAAUAUUGGGGUAGGUUAUGUCAAUAAACUGGAGCAAUUACAGCUCCAAGCUGCUAGGAUAGUUACGGGGUUACCUAUAUUCACAAGCUCAAGGAUUAUUUAUGAAGAACUUGGAUGGGAAACAUUAGCUGAAAGAAGAGAGAGAAGAAAAAUCCAAAUGUUUUAUAAUAUUCAAAAUAAUAAUGUUCCAGAAUAUUUGUCAAAUUUAAUUCCCCAAAAAAUACAAAGUAUGACGGUCUAUCCUCUACGUAAUGGAAAUGACAUCAUUAUUCCAUUCUGCAGACUAGCAUUAACUAAUGAUUCUUUUAUUCCAUCAACCAUACGUCUUUGGAAUAAUCUUGAGGAUUCAACUCGUGAUGUGGAAUCAAUUAAUAAAUUUAAAACUGAACUAAAAAACCGUUAUCCUCAGAGUAAUAUAUUUGUACCGAAGCAAUAUGAAUUUGGAAAUCGAAAAUUGAAUAUAAUUCUCACCCAACUUCGAUGUUUUGCAUCAUCCUUAAACUAUGAUCUAUAUAGGGUCAAUAUUAUUUCUGACCCUUCCUGCCGCUGUGGUUGUUAAUCGUGAAGAUUCCUAUCAUUUCUUUUUUAAAUGUAUAUUAUAUUCAGACAUACGAAAUAAAAUGUUUGAAAGUCUGCGCUGGCUUCCAAAUGAUUGUAAAAUUAACAUAGAACUACUUACCUCGGGUAGUUGUCUUCUUUCUCUAGAGCAAAACCAAACCAUUUUCAAAAAUGUCUUUGAGUUUAUUAAAAGUUCGGAAAGAUUUCAAAUUGUCUAGGUAGCAAACCAUGAUCGCACACACAUCAUCAUCUAAGUAAAAUUUCUUCUCCCCUUUUUUGUCCUUUUUAUUUUUUCUUUUUGUUUUUUUUUUUUUUUUUUUUUUUUAUUAUUUUUUUUUUGUUUUUGUUUUGUUUUUUUUUUUUUUUGUGUUUCUGUUCUGUUUUCUAAAUAAUGAUUUAUUUAUUUAUAUAUUUUUAUUUUUGAUUUUUUUUUUUCUGUAUUAUUAUUGUUUUCUUUUUCUUCAAUUUUCCGUCUUUUGAUCCAUAUUAUAUAUAUAUUUUACUAAAUAGAUAUACCAUUCUAUA
rnacentral:lncRNA from 1 species